rnacentral:rRNA from 1 species
CCGAGGACUCCUCAGUCAUCCGCUUGCAAAUAUAUGUUCGCCUUUAACCGGGCGGCUAUUUGAGCAAGCAUUUUACCUUGAGAAAAACAGAGUGUUCCCAGGCGGGUUUGUCCCGGAAUGCAUUAUCAUGGAAUAAUAGAAUAUGACUGAAGUCUAUUUAUUGGUUUGAGGCUUUAGUAAUGAUUUAUAGGAACAGUCGGGGGCAUUGGUACUUGUCAGUCAGAGGUGAAAUUCUAGGAUUUGACAAAGACUAACAAAUGCGAAAGCAUUUGCCAAGGAUGUUUUCAUUAAUCAAGAACGAAAGUUAGGGGAUCAAAGACGAUCAGAUACCGUCCUAGUCUUAACUAUAAACUAUACCGACUCGGAUUCAGAUGAAUCAUAAAGUUCAUUUGGGACCGUAGGAGAAAUCAAAGUUUUUGGGUUCUGGGGGAAGUAUGGUCGCAAGGCUGAAACUUAAAGGAAUUGACGGUUUUGCCCCCCCAUGGGAGUGGAGUCUGCGGCUUAAUUUGACUCAACACUGGGAAACUCAUCAGGGCAAGAAGAUUGUAGGAUUGACAGAUUGAGAGUUCUUUCUUGAUUGGUCUAGUGGUGGUGCAUGGCCGUUCUUAGUUGGUGGAGUGAUUUGUCUGGUUAAUUCCGUUAACGAACGAGACCUUAACCUGCUAACUAGUACUUCGAUGACAAAUCGAAGUUACUUCUUAGAGGGACUAUGUG